rnacentral:rRNA from 1 species
ACAUGCCUACAACAUAGCAUUAAUUCAUAGGAUUACAUUAACACUCCACAUCUAAUUGUGCUCAGACUAAAGUAGUACUGGGAUGGGUGACCGCUCGGGAAGUCCUAGUAUUUUACAUGCC